rnacentral:rRNA from 1 species
GACGAACGCUGGCGGCGUGCUUAACACAUGCAAGUCGAGCGGAGCGGCGAACGGGCGAGUAACGCGUGAGUAACUGCCCCCCUCCCUGGGCUAACAGUUGGAAACGGCUGCUAAUACCGGAUAGUGGGGGAUGACUCGCGUCCUAUCAGCUUGUUGGUGGGGUAGUGGCCUACCAAGGCGAAGAAGGAUAGCCGGCCUGGGAGGGUGACCGGCCACCUUUGGCUGAGGUACGGCGCAAACUCCAACGGGGGGCAGCAGGGGGGAAUAUUGCACAAUGGGGGAGACCCUGAUGCAGCGGCGCCGCGUGCGGGAUGACGGCCUUCGGGUUAUAAACCGCUUUCAGCCAUGACGCGGUAGUGGCAGAAGAAGCACCGGCUAACUACGUGCCAGCAGCCGCGGUAAUUC